rnacentral:rRNA from 1 species
UACGUAGGGUGCAAGCGUUAAUCGGAAUUACUGGGCGUAAAGCGUGCGCAGGCGGCUUUGCAAGACAGAUGUGAAAUCCCCGGGCUUAACCUGGGAACUGCAUUUGUGACUGCAUGGCUAGAGUGCGGCAGAGGGGGAUGGAAUUCCGCGUGUAGCAGUGAAAUGCGUAGAUAUGCGGAGGAACACCGAUGGCGAAGGCAAUCCCCUGGCCUGCACCUGGACCGCUCAUGCACGAAAGCGUGGGGAG